rnacentral:rRNA from 1 species
UACGUAGGGGGCAAGCGUUGUCCGGAAUGACUGGGCGUAAAGGGCGCGUAGGCGGCUUUUUAAGUUAGAAGUGGAAGUCCUGCUUUUAAGGUGGGAAUUGCUUUUAAUACUGGAAGGCUUGAGUGCAGAAGAGGUAAGUGGAAUUCCCAGUGUAGCGGUGAAAUGCGUAGAGAUUGGGAAGAACACCAGUGGCGAAGGCGACUUACUGGGCUGUAACUGACGCUGAGGCGCGAAAGCGUGGGGAGCAAACAGGAUUAGAUACCCUGGUAGUCCUCGCGGUAAACGAUGAAUGCUAGGUGUAGGGGGUAUCGACCCCUCCUGUGCCGCAGUCAACACAAUAAGCAUUCCGCCUGGGGAGUACGGCCGCAAGGUUGAA